rnacentral:rRNA from 1 species
GCUCUUUUACCAGGGAUGAUAAUGACAGUACCUGGAGAAUAAGCUCCGGCUAACUCCGUGCCAGCAGCCGCGGUAAUACUGAGGGAGCUAGCGUUGUUCGGAAUUACUGGGCGUAAAGCGCGCGUAGGCGGUUACUCAAGUCAGAGGUGAAAGCCCGGGGCUCAACCCCGGAACUGCCUUUGAAACUAGGUGACUAGAAUCUUG